rnacentral:rRNA from 1 species
GUAGUCCACGCCCUAAACGAUGCGAACUGGAAGUUGGGUGCAACUUGGCACUCAGUUUCGAAGCUAACGCGUUAAGUUCGCCGCCUGGGAAGUACGGUCGCAAGACUGAAACUCAAAGGAAUUGACGGGGGCCCGCACAAGCGGUGGAGUAUGUGGUUUAAUUCGAUGCAACGCGAAGAACCUUACCUGGCCUUGACAUGUCUGGAAUCCUUUAGAGAUAGAGGAGUGCCUUCGGGAACCAGAACACAGGUGCUGCAUGGCUGUCGUCAGCUCGUGUCGUGAGAUGUUGGGUUAAGUCCCGCAACGAGCGCAACCCUUGUCCUUAGUUGCCAGCACGUAAUGGUGGGAACUCUAAGGAGACCGCCGGUGAUAAGCCGCGA